UCGUAACAAGGUCUCCGUUGGUGAACCAGCGGAGGGAUCAUUACUGAGUUUACGCUCUAUAACCCUUUGUGAACAUACCUAUAACUGUUGCUUCGGCGGGUAGGGUCUCCGUGACCCUCCCGGCCUCCCGCCCCCGGGCGGGUCGGCGCCCGCCGGAGGAUAACCAAACUCUGAUUUAACGACGUUUCUUCUGAGUGGUACAAGCAAAUAAUCAAAACUUUUAACAACGGAUCUCUUGGUUCUGGCAUCGAUGAAGAACGCAGCGAAAUGCGAUAAGUAAUGUGAAUUGCAGAAUUCAGUGAAUCAUCGAAUCUUUGAACGCACAUUGCGCCCGCCAGCAUUCUGGCGGGCAUGCCUGUUCGAGCGUCAUUUCAACCCUCAAGCUCUGCUUGGUGUUGGGGCCCUACAGCUGAUGUAGGCCCUCAAAGGUAGUGGCGGACCCUCCCGGAGCCUCCUUUGCGUAGUAACUUUACGUCUCGCACUGGGAUCCGGAGGGACUCUUGCCGUAAAACCCCCCAAUUUCCAAAGGUUGACCUCGGAUCAGGUAGGAAUACCCGCUGAACUUAAGCAUAUCAAUA
rnacentral:rRNA from 1 species